GCUUCCCGGCCCAGCCCACCUGCUGACGGCUCUGCUGUUUGGUCCUGGCGUCGAGCCGUGUCAGCAGGGGCAGGGGGAUGGGCGACCGGGACAGCCCCCCGCCUCCCGGCCCCUCCGCUGUGCCAGACGUACCCGGGGGCCUUCCACCGAAGGAUGACGCAGCAUUUUGCAAACACAUGUUGCCAACUCGAAUAAAUGCUAGAGAGACAGAGACCCAGGCAUGUGGGCUGGCCAGUUGGAGAGCCAUCCAGCGAGUAGGCCCGUAGGAAAAUGAAUGUCAGUGGCUCUUUGUUCUGAACCUUUUGCACCAAGCUCUGCCCUGGACGAGGGAGCGGACCGGCCGGCCGGGCUCCCGGGCGCAAGACCGCUUUGUGGGCCGCUGCCCCUGGCCUCUAAGUGGGCAUAGUCAUUACACCAAAGGCUGGAAGGAACCACAGAACGGGAUACAUAUUUAGGGAAAUAUGCACACAACUCAGUUUAUUUUUCUUAUCUGAUUUUUUUUUUUUUCUGGUGCAAUAUGAGUCCUGUUGAAUACUUGGCAGCUGCCUUUCCAUACUCGAGUUGUUUGUCAUUUCUGGGGCUGCCGAUGCUGUUAUGAUCUCCCUUUUGGGAGGAAUUUACAGGCACAUGUUGACCCAGCUGAGUGGGAACAGGGAGCAGCAGGAAUCUGGUGAACAAGGACCAUCACAGACCAGAAAGGAUGCCUUCGCUGCCUUUCUUGACGGCGUCCUCAGAUGAGCCGCUCAGCGCCUUGUGGGGCCGGGGCCAUCGAGGGCGCCACCACUCCGGCUUCAAAAACCCAGAUCCUCUCUGGGCCCGCCCUUGACAUCAGCCUGCCUUUCCUUUCGUGACUCUCCGGGAGUUGUAGUCGGCCCGGUGCUUUAUUGUCGGGCUGUCAGGAGUCAGCCCUCCGUAGCAGCUGUUGCUAGGUAAGGCGUGAUUUCCCGCAGAGACCAUGCGGGCGAGGAUGGGGACGUUGGCUGGCAGAGGGCCAGGCGGCCGUGCGGGGGAACAGGCAGGGGCCACGGUGAAGGGCAGGAGGCAGGAGGCAGGACCUUGGCUGCCCUCUGCCCCCUGACCCUGCCACCGUCUGCUCCUGCUUUGCAGUGUCCCCUCUGGCCUCCCCUCCCCCAAAGACCUGGCCUGUAUCUCAUGGCCACCGAGCCCCUCGUGCUCAUUUGCUUCAUUUUCUGGACACCUCCAGCCCGCCAGGGGCUGGGGGUAUGGAGAUGAAUUGGUGCUGCAGGAGCGCAGAGCCCAUAGGAGAAGCAGACCCCGAGGGGGCUGAGCCACCCCCCCACUCCGCCGCGUGGCUGGUGGCUUUACAGCCACAGCAGCUGCUGCCGGCACCUUGCCGUAUCCCUCUGUCCCCCCUCGCCGUCGCCUGCUCAGCAUAGGGACAGUCUCCUGGCCCCAGAACAUCUUCCAGCCCCAGAGGUUACUCCAGGAGAGACCCUUGAUCCCCAAAGGCUGGGAGUUGAUUGGAUCGUUCUGGAAAAUCAUUGACGGUCAACUCCGUGUUUUGUGUGUCACCAUCAUUAAAAAGACUGAAUGGCCGGGCGUGGGGAUGAGGCAGAGGGAGGAAGCUGGGAGCCCGGCCCGGAGCCCACGGCCUGAGGCCAAGUCCCAGCUUUCUGGUCCCUGGCAAACCGCUCUGCCUCCCAGGGCCUCCGUGUUCUCACCCGUGCGCAACGGUCCUGCCGUCGUGGAGCUGCAGUCCAGGGAGACGUGCCUGGUGCUGUAGGGCCGCCGGUCUCGUGAGCGGCACCGACUGGCUUUUGGGGAGAGCGAGUCUGAUCCCAGCAGUGAUGGUGACGCUCUCCCGUCCCAAGACCGCCGUCACCCCGGCCCCUCGGCCUCCACCCCAGAGCACCUCCUCCUUGUGCUCGGGGCCCGUGAGGCGGGAAGGGCAGCGUCUGAAUUCAAAGCAAGUCCACAAGCUGAAAGAGAAACCAAGUGGAGAGAUCAAAGUCCCACUGGGUUAUUGACCGGUGUGGUUGCAAUGCCCCCUUUCCUGCCGAUUCUGUAGACGCCUUCUGUCCCAUUCCAGCCUGCCUCCUGGUCCCCUCGGAGUGGCCGUAAGUUGUACACAGGCUGCUUCUGAUCCGACGGUAGGCACGGUUGCUGGUAUUUUACAGUGGCUUAGUCUGAACUUUUCCCUACUCUUUUUUGCCUAAAAUCCUUACUUUCAGGAAAUCGCUGUUGUAAGACAGGACUCCGCAAUUACAACUCUGGGGCCAAGUCCCCCCCCCCAGCCUGUUUCUGUACGCAAAGUUUUAUUGGCACCCGUUGUUUUCCAUAUCUCCGCCGAUGGCUGCCCCAAGCUCGGAGGCGGAGUCAGGUCCUUGCCACGGAGACCAUGUGACCCGCAAAGCCAGAAAUAUUUACUAUCUGACCCUUGGCAGGAAAUGUUGCCAGCAUUCUGUUGUAAGAGAUGCUGAAAUGUUUAAUUCUUUGAGGACUGGGGCACAUAAUUAAUGUUUUUUAGUUCCACCAUGCUAAAAUUAGAAGGAAAACUUAUUUACUAUAACAUGCUUUGUAGUAAUCAUGAAAUAUUGUCUCAUAAUUACUAGUAUUUUAAUGAGCACCCAUCAGCACAUUAGCGAACCUAAGAGAGGAGCUAAAAAGAAGGUAGUGAAAUAUUCCAUCACGUUUCUCCUGACCCAACAGCUAGACGAUAGACCAGCAUGUGAAGUAUUGACAGACCUUUGGCAGUUUUAUCUGCCUCCUUAAAAGUUUAUGUGUCGGAGUUCCUGUUGUGGCUCAGCAGGUUAGGAAUCCGACGAGUUUCCAUGAGGAUGCAGGUUUGAUCCCUGGCUGUGCUCAGUGGGUUAAGGAUCUGGCAUUGCCAUGAGCUGUGGCGCAGGCUGCAGAUGGAGCUCAGAUCCAGCAUUGCGGUGGCUGUGGUGGCUGCAGCUCCAAUUCGACCCGUAGCCUGGGAACGUCCAUGUGCUGUAGGUGGGGCCCUAAAAAGACCAAAAAAAAAAAAAAAAAAAAAAA
ensembl:lncRNA